rnacentral:rRNA from 1 species
CAGAGGGGGCAAGCGUUGUUCGGAAUUACUGGGCGUAAAGGGCGCGUAGGCGGCCUGUUAAGUCGGACGUGAAAUCCCUCGGCUCAACCGGGGAACUGCGUCCGAUACUGGCGGGCUUGAAUUCGGGAGAGGGAUGUGGAAUUCCAGGUGUAGCGGUGAAAUGCGUAGAUAUCUGGAGGAACACCGGUGGCGAAGGCGGCAUCCUGGACCGACAUUGACGCUGAGGCGCGAAAGCCAGGGAAGCAAACGGGAUUAGAUACCCCGGUAGUCCUGGCCCUAAACGAUGAGUGCUUGGUGUGGCGGGUAUCGAUCCCUGCCGUGCCGAAGCUAACGCAUUAAGCACUCCGCCUGGGGAGUACGGUCGCAAGGCUG